rnacentral:rRNA from 3 species
GUAGGUAGCUUAACCUUCGGGAGGGCGCUUACCACUUUGUGAUUCAUGACUGGGGUGAAGUCGUAACAAGGUAACCGUAGGGGAACCUGCGGUUGGAUCACCUCCUUACCU